rnacentral:rRNA from 1 species
ACGGAAGGCAGCAGUGGGGAAUAUUGCACAAUGGGGGAAACCCUGAUGCAGCGACGCCGCGUGAGUGAAGAAGUAUUUCGGUAUGUAAAGCUCUAUCAGCAGGAAAGAAAAUGACGGUACCUGACUAAGAAGCCCCGGCUAACUACGUGCCAGCAGCCGCGGUAAUACGUAGGGGGCAAGCGUUAUCCGGAUUUACUGGGUGUAAAGGGAGCGUAGACGGUCUUGCAAGUCUGAAGUGAAAGCCCGGGGCUCAACCCCGGAACUGCUUUGGAAACUGUAAAACUAGAGUGCAGGAGAGGUAAGCGGAAUUCCUAGUGUAGCGGUGAAAUGCGUAGAUAUUAGGAGGAACACCAGCGGCGAAGGCGGCUUACUGGACUGUAACUGACGUUGAGGCUCGAAGGCGUGGGGAGCAAACAGGAUUAGAUACCCUGGUA